rnacentral:misc_RNA from 1 species
AAGUCGUAACAAGGUUUCCGUAGGUGAACCUGCGGAAGGAUCAUUACUGAAUUUAAUUCCGGGGUUGUAGCUGGCCAUUUGCGUGGUAUGUGCACACCUUGGUAUAAUCCAAAUUCAUUCACACCUUUGUGCACCGUUCCGUGGCGAUUGAAGGUAUUUGAAGUUGGGCCUAGCAGCUUUUCUUUGAAGCCGGAAAUUUCCAUGUUUUCUUACAUACACUACAGUUUUAGAAUGUUGAUUGCGUCAAACGCAUUUAUAUACAACUUUCAGCAACGGAUCUCUUGGCUCUC